UGUUAAAAUUUUCAUCCAUUUGUAUUGGUAAAAAAUAGCAUGACUAAUGGAAUAACCAUAUAGUUACAUACGGCGUGCCAUGUGUACCUUAUGUUGACGUCCACAGACGAGUUUUUAACAAUAGAAAUAAAUCAAAUUUUUAAAA
rnacentral:pre_miRNA from 1 species